UGGGGAAUAUUGCACAAUGGGCGCAAGCCUGAUGCAGCAACGCCGCGUGAACGAUGAAGGUCUUCGGAUCGUAAAGUUCUGUUGCAGGGGAAGAUAAUGACGGUACCCUGUGAGGAAGCCCCGGCUAACUACGUGCCAGCAGCCGCGGUAAUACGUAGGGGGCUAGCGUUAUCCGGAUUUAUUGGGCGUAAAGCGAGCGCAGGCGGUUAGAAAAGUCUGAAGUGAAAGGCAGUGGCUCAACCAUUGUAGGCUUUGGAAACUGUUUAACUUGAGUGCAGAAGGGGAGAGUGGAAUUCCAUGUGUAGCGGUGAAAUGCGUAGAUAUAUGGAGGAACACCGGUGGCGAAAGCGGCUCUCUGGUCUGUAACUGACGCUGAGGCUCGAAAGCGUGGGGAGCGAACAGG
rnacentral:rRNA from 1 species